rnacentral:lncRNA from 1 species
AGAUGUAACACGAUUUGGUACAGACUCAAGACACACCUUGAUCUGUCUCCCUAGCUCUCUCUGUUCUUCGAUCGAUACUUGAUCUCAGAACACCUCUAGAAAAACCCUUAACCCUUGAUGCAGACUCUCUCUUUUGAAUCUCUCACCCUUAUGCUAAGUGCUCUCUAGUAGUUGUGUUAAGCUUCUACAAGGCUACAACACGUCUACUUAUACCUAGUAGACUCCGCGGCUCUACGUGCCAAAAAUCCUACAACACAGCUUCCAUUUUGUCGCUUGAUGUAUAUUUCCUAUUUCCUUAAACUUUUGCUUGUUUAAGGAAAUCUUCCAUUCUUCCUGAUCUGCUCCAUUAUUCCCAUCCAGC